rnacentral:rRNA from 1 species
AACGAACGCUGGCGGCAUGCCUAACACAUGCCAGUCGAACGAGACCUUCGGGUCUAGUGGCGCACGGGUGCGUAACGCGUGGGAACCUGCCCUUAGGUUCGGAAUAACUCCCCGAAAGGGGUGCUAAUACCGGAUAAUGUCUUCGGACCAAAGAUUUAUCGCCUUUGGAUGGGCCCGCGUUGGAUUAGCUAGUUGGUAGGGUAAAAGCCUACCAAGGCGACGAUCCAUAGCUGGUCUGAGAGGAUGAUCAGCCACACUGGGACUGAGACACGGCCCAGACUCCUACGGGAGGCAGGAGUGGGGAAAAUUGGACAAUGGGCGAAAGCCUGAUCCAGCAAUGCCGCGUGAGUGAUGAAGGCCUGAGGGUUGUAAAGCUCUUUUACCCGGGAUGAUAAUGACAGGACCGGGAGAAUAAGCUCCGGCUAACUCCG